UGGCUUUACACCAACGAAAAAGAAAAACAGAUGAAUAAGCUUUUGAUCUUCAUUUUCUUUCUCUUAUUCUCAUGUUACCUGAGAUGCUUUUAAAUGUGAUGUUAUAAGCCUAAGGCAGCUUUAUCAGCAGCUUGGCAACAUUCUGUAAAAGCAGCUUUAUACCUUUUAGCAAAGAAAAGGAGUUCCGGGGCAUAAAAGUAAGGAUGUCUUCUGGCAAUUUCAUAUAAGUAUUGUCAUGAAAAGCAGUGCACAUCACAUCAACCUCUGGUCUCACCAAUCGGGGGAGGUUUGGGUUGUCAUCUUUGUGUUGCAAGAAGCAUUCAUUUCUCUC
rnacentral:lncRNA from 1 species